GGGGGUGGGUGGGGUGGUGGAUUAAAAACCCCCAUCUUUGAUCUUGCCUUGCAUGGAGAGCGAAGCCUUAGGGAGAGUAUGUCAACAAAAGUAACCCUCCAUGUCAAUAAAAUUACAGAGCAAGUAAUAUAACCAAUGACAAAAACUUAAAAAAGGAUUCUUGAAUUGUAUAUGCAUCGCUUAAUAAUUAAGGUAGAGUUUGGCAUUACAACA
rnacentral:misc_RNA from 1 species